CUUCUUCAACGAGAACAUUCCAUCUUUCUCCACUCACAACACCGUCUCUUACACACUUAAAGAUCACUCCUUUUCUCUUACUAAACACUCCUCUCACUUCUAAGCCAGUGAACGCAUAAAUCACUUCAAAGGAACCAAUAAAGCCAUCUCCAAAGCUUUUCUCUUCUUCAAACAACCAUCUCGGAUUGAUCAUUACUACAGG